ensembl:lincRNA
CACGUAAUAAUUGUACAUAUUUGUGGGGUACGUAGUGAUGUUUCUGUACGUGUAUAGUGAUCAGAUGAGGGUAAUUAGCAUACCUAUCAUCUCAAACAUUUAUUAUUUCUUUGCAUUAGGAACACUCAAUAUUCUCCUUCAAGCUAUCUGAAAAUACAUAAUUUUUGUUUUGAGACAGGGUCUCACUCUGUUGCUGUCUUCACGGCGAGCAGGAGCAGAGGCUUUGGGAAGCCAGUGGGCCUUGGCCUCAGCCCUGCCGGCAGAGGGUCCCCACCAUGCAGCUGAAGUGCCAGGGUGCUUGUGAAGUCUAAGCGCUUGUCUGGCAUUUGUCAGGAAUAUAGGGUGAGGCCUCUGGGACCGAGCGGGGCGGGGCGGGGCGGGGCGGGACCAACAGCGCAUACUUAAGCGGCCCGGGCGGGUACCGCCGUCCCGCCAUGGCUCUGAGGCGCGCCCUGCCCGCGCUGCGCCCCUGCAUUCCCCGCUUCGUCCCGCUGUCCACGGCGCCGGCCUCCCGCGAGCAGCCCGCAGCGGGCCCAGCGGCCGUGCCAGGAGGUGGGUCGGCCAGGGCAGUGCGGCCGCCGGUGCCCGCCGUGGACUUUGGCAACGCGCAGGAGGCGUACCGCAGCCGGCGAACCUGGGAGCUGGCGCGCAGCCUGCUGGUGCUGCGCUUGUGCGCCUGGCCCGCGCUGCUGGCGCGCCACGAGCAGCUGCUGUAUGUUUCCAGGAAACUUCUAGGACAGAGGCUAUUCAACAAGCUCAUGAAGAUGACCUUCUAUGGGCAUUUUGUAGCCGGGGAGGACCAGGAGUCCAUCCAGCCCCUGCUUCGGCACUACAGGGCCUUCGGUGUCAGCGCCAUCCUGGACUAUGGAGUGGAGGAGGACCUGAGCCCCGAGGAGGCAGAGCACAAGGAGAUGGAGUCCUGCACCUCAGCUGCGGAGAGGGAUGGCAGUGGCACGAGUAAGCGGGACAAGCAAUACCAGGCCCACCGGGCCUUCGGGGACCGCAGGAAUGGUGUCAUCAGUGCCCGCACCUACUUCUACGCCAAUGAGGCCAAGUGCGACAGCCACAUGGAGACAUUCUUGCGCUGCAUCGAAGCCUCAGGUGGGGCCCCCUCUUUGCUGGCUAUACCCCUGCCAUGUCCCAGCCUGAGCGGACCCCUGGGCUCAUGGAGGUGCCGGUGGGUGAACACUAAGCUGGGGCAGGAGCCAGAGGGCUGGGUUCUGAUCACACUUGGGUCCCUCACUGUUCAGCCCCUUCCUGAGGGGCCCCACUGCCUCCCAGAAGGCAUCUCCUCUCCUGCCCCAGCUCCCUGUUCCCUGAUCCCACCUCAUGCCCCCCACCCUUCUCCCUGGCUCAGGGCCAGGACCGGGAGCUGCAGGAAGUUGGUCCAUGUCAGCUGCCGAGCCACACUUAGCCCAGGGUGGAGGUUCCAUUCAGGGAGCUGGUGCCGCAUCUUCUGUCCUUCCCUGACACAGCCUCUGGGGGCCAGCGGUGGGGGCAGCAGGUGCUUCCAGGGCUGGAGAAGCCAGAGGUCAGCAAGGCCCAGUGUCCUUCAGUGUUAGAAACAUUCGACCUGCACAGCCCCAUGCUGGCCCCAGCAGCCCUCCGUCAGGGGCAGCGGGUCCCAGGCCUGUUUAUGUUUUUGUUUGUUUGCUUCAAAUGAGACUGGAUCUUGCUCUGUCACCCAGGCUGGAGUGCUCACCCCUCUAAUCCCAGCAAUUUGGGAGGCCAAGGCGGGUGGAUUGCCUGAGCUCAGUUCAAGACCAGCCUGGGCAACAUGGUGAAACCCCAUCUCUACUAAAAUACAAAAAAUUAGCUGGGUGUGGCAGCAGGCGCUUGUAAUCCCAGCUACUUGGGAGGCUGAGACAGAAGAAUCACUUGAAUCCAGGAGGCGGAGGUUGCAGUGAGCCAAGAUCGUGCCACUGCACUCCAGCCUGGGCGACAGAGCGAGACUCCAUCUCAAAAAAAAAAAAAAAAUGAGGUCUCACUAUGUUGCCCUGGUUGGCCUGGAACUCCUGGGCUCAAGUGAUCCCUCCACCUUGGCCUCCCAAAGUGCUGGGAUUACAGGCACACACUACCACACCCAGCUAAUUUUCAUAUUUUUUGUAGAGAUGGUGUUUCACCAUGUUGCCCAGGCUGGUCUCAAACUCCUGGCCUCAAGCGAACCUUACACUUUGGCCUCCCAAAGUGCUGGGAUUAUAGGUGCAUGCCGCUGCACCUGGCACUUCUGAGCAGUGCUUGGAAGCCGCCUCCUGACGGGGGCUGGGGGUCAGAGUGGCCAGCUGAAUGCUGGGCCAUCAGGGUGAGGGGCGUCUUCUCCUCGUCCAUUGCCUGUUCUCCCAGGGCAGGUGGAAGGGGAAGGCCCUGCAUUGGGGUGGUGUGAAACAAGAUGAGAUGGUAAGAUCUGCUUUCACUUUAAAGGAACAUUUCUGGUUGUUGCUUGGAAAGAAGUGUCAGGGGCAAGAAUGCUGCAGGAGGGCUGGCCUGGAGGACAGGGUGGGACUGCGGGCUGGCUGCACGGGGGCAGGAGCCUGCGCUUGCGUCAGAGGUUCCUGAGAGGUUCGGGCUCUGGGGCAGAGGCCUGAGCAAGGGGACCUUGCUGGGGUGUCUCUGUCUUAGCCACGCUCGGUAUUUCUGGGUCCUGUGACCCACGUGUGAGCAGCCUAUGGUGCUGGUGGCACAGGGGAGGAAACCAAGGCAGGGAGUCUGUGGGGGCUGCUUGGCAGGGGACAGGCAGCUCCUGUGCUCACUGCUGUCCCACACCUGCAUGGAAACACAAACCCCGCCACGGAGCCCCCUCUCAUCUCUACAGGGCCUCCAGAGCGCCAUGUGCAAGGACUUCAUGGGCGGGGUGGGGUGGGGUCAGGAGUCUGCUGUGGGCUGGCCAGGCCCUGGCCCUCCCUGUCCCACCCUGCGCUGCCUCCAUGCACCUCUCAGGGCUGUCAUGGCUUUUCCUGUGGCUUCUGACAGGUAGAGUCAGCGAUGACGGCUUCAUAGCCAUUAAGCUCACGGCACUGGGGAGACCCCAGUUUCUGGUAAGUGCUAGAACCUUCCACCUGCAGAGUCUGGUGCUGUGCGAGAUCUCAGGGCAGCUGUGGGCAUCCACCAAAAACACAGGUGCCCAUGCCUUAGAGGCCUGAGCUGGCCACAGGGGCUGUGUGGGGGACUGGGUUGGGCAGGGGCGUGUGCAGAUGGCAUUCAGGCCUGCGUUUGCAGCUGCAGUUCUCAGAGGUGCUGGCCAAGUGGAGGUGCUUCUUUCACCAAAUGGCUGUGGAGCAAGGGCAGGCGGGCCUGGCUGCCAUGGACACCAAGCUGGAGGUGGCGGUGCUGCAGGUGGGGCAGCCUUCCCCUUCCCUACUCCCGUGGCUUGUGAGGGGUGGGCACCGUGGGGUCACACAGGGCAUGGUGGGCAGUGGUCGGAGGUGGUUUUGGGAACUCACCCAGGGCACGUGGCUCACUCUGCAGCUGCUGGGGUUGGCCUGGUGGGGAGGAGGAGGUCGGAGGGACUCUGAACAGAGAGGGGAGAUGCUGGCAGGAGGGCUGGAGACCCAGCCCUGCAGGGCGUGGGCGUGCAUCAGCAGCGGGGUGGGAAUAGACCUGUCUAUGCAGUAGAAACAAACCAGACAUGGAUCCUGUUCUUACUAACGAUGCAAUAAAGCCAGAAACAGCACCAGAGGCCAAUGGGUGGGGGGAAGGAUAAAAUAUGAGUGAAUGGGGCUGAUCCAGGCCUUCUCACUUCUCAAGGAAAGUGUCGCAAAGAUGGGCAUCGCAUCCAGGGCUGAGAUUGAGGACUGGUUCACGGCAGAGACCCUGGGAGUGUCUGGGUGAGAGCAGCCCCCAGGCUGAGAGGACACGAGCAUCAGCCAUGGUUCCAGCCAAGCCCCAGUGACGUCUCCCAGUCCUGGCUGCCCUGCCUGAGAGGGUGGGCCCUGGGAUGACAGUGCUGAAGGAACUGCUUUUCACACAGCAGGACUUGAUGGCUUCAGGAGUCCCUGAGGCUGGGGCUGGGCUGGGCAGGGGAGACACAGGGCCAGCACAGACCCCAUAGAGGGCUCUUUAUAGAAUUAUCUGGGUCUAGAGCAAAGGUGGCACUCUCAGCCCUCCCUGGAGUCCACGCUGGCAGGUGAAGGAUCAGAGCCCCAUGCCCCAUCCUUGGAGCCAGGGGCUGGGACCCAGGUCACCAGGAGCCUCCAGUUGAAGUGGGGAGGUGACUGGGGUGGUGCAGUAGUGAGCCAUCCCCUCACACACUGUCAGCCUUGCCCACUGUGUCCUCCCUGGCCCCCCAGAGCUGUGUCCGCCUCCUGCCUGGCUGCCUGUGCUCGGCCCGUCCACAAGCCCAAAACAGCCCUAGGGUACUCAGUGUUUUCAGAGCCGCCUAGAUGCAGGACUGUUUGUGUUUUGGUUUUAAAUUUUUUAAAUUAAUU